UAAGAGAAAAAAAAUAAAAGAAUAUGAGAAGCUUCCAGGUAACUUCAUUGCUGAUAGGGAAAACAGAAAAAAAAGGGGGAUUAUUUCAUAUUUGAAAGACUUCCAUUACCAAAAACACAACACGUGCAUUCUAGAUUGCACACAAGAAACGCAGAAAGACAAAAAUCAAAACAUGGAGUACUAUGACGCUAAGUUUCUCUACCGCUAUGGCGGUGGCGAGAUCAAACGCUGCCCUAAUGACUCUAAGAUCUCCUAUGUUGGUGGCCACAACAAUAUCCUCUAUGUUAGCUGCGAAAUCGACUUCACCGCCAUGCUCGCCGAACCCUCCGCUCUCUUUGAUGCUGCCGGGGUUGAUUUGGAAGGGGAGAGAGAGAGAGAAAUUUGGCUGCGAUGGGGAUUGACUUGGAGAGAGCGCGCGAAUGAAGAUAACAGUGGUGGAGAGGAGGGUAGUUUAGGAUUCUUGGAUAGUUUUUUAUGGUUUGGAUGAUUUUGUCGCACAUAACCGAUCUUUCAUGAGUACAACUUUAAUUUUAUUAUUUUGUGGGUACAUUUUAUCAGCAUUUAGAACUUUCAUUGAUACAAAUGGUAGUUUAUUCAAUUAUCAAUGUAUUUAGAACUUUUGUGGAUACAAAUGGUAGUUUAUUCAAUUAUCAAUGUAUUGUCUAUGGAAUUAUUUUUCUAAACCAAACAUGAAUUCAUUUCAGUCCGGCUCGUAGGUUUACAUCUGGUUUAUACUAAAGUGUAUUAACAAAAUGGCAUAAAUGCCUAGCACAAUUAGAAGUAAUAUUUAAAUUUCCCAGGAAAAUGAUGGCAAAAAAUUAUUGCAACA